UACGAAGGGGGCUAGCGUUGCUCGGAAUCACUGGGCGUAAAGCGCACGUAGGCGGACUCUUAAGUCAGGGGUGAAAUCCUGGAGCUCAACUCCAGAACUGCCUUUGAUACUGAGGAUCUUGAGUUCGGGAGAGGUGAGUGGAACUGCGAGUGUAGAGGUGAAAUUCGUAGAUAUUCGCAAGAACACCAGUGGCGAAGGCGGCUCGCUGGGCGUGAUCUGACGCUGAGGCGCGAAGGCGUGGGGAGCGAACAGG
rnacentral:rRNA from 1 species